UACAGAGGGGCGAGCGUUGUUCGGAAUUACUGGGCGUAAAGGGCGCGUAGGCGGCCAACUAAGUCAGACGUGAAAUCCCUCGGCUCAACCGGGAACUGCGUCUGAUACUGGAUGGCUUGAAUUCGGGAGAGGGAUGCGGAAUUCCAGGUGUAGCGGUGAAAUGACGUAGAUAUCUGGAGGAACACCGGUGGCGAAGGCGGCAUCCUGGACCGAGAUUGACGCUGAUGCGCGAAAGCCAGGGGAGCAAACGGG
rnacentral:rRNA from 1 species